GUCCACGCUGUAAACUAUGAGAACUAGAUGUUAGGGCAUGACCUCUUAGUAUCGUAGCAAACGCGAUAAGUUCUCCGCCUGGGGAGUACGGCCGCAAGGUUAAACUCAAAGGAAUUGACGGGGCCCGCACAAGCGGUGGAGCAUGUGGUUUAAUUCGAUGCAACGCGAAGAACCUUACCUACCUUUGAAUCCACGGAAUUUUGCAGAGAUGCAGAAGUGCCUUCGGGAACCGUGAGACAGGUGCUGCAUGGCUGUCGU
rnacentral:rRNA from 1 species